GCGAAUGGCUCAUUAUAUAAGUUAUCGUCUAUUUGAUAGUACCUUACUACUUGGAUAACCGUGGUAAUUCUAGAGCUAAUACAUGCUGAAAAUCCCGACUUCGGAAGGGAUGUAUUUAUUGGAUUAAAAAACCAAUGCCCCUGUGGGCUCUCUGGUGAUUCACGAUAACUUCUCGAAUCGCAUGGCCUUGCGCCGGCGAUGGUUCAUUCGAAUUUCUUCCCUAUCAACUUUCGAUGUUUGGGUAGUGGCCAAACAUGGUUACAACGGGUAACGGAGGGUUAGGGCUCGACCCCGGAGAAGGAGCCUGAGAAACGGCUACUACAUCCAAGGAAGGCAGCAGGCGCGCAAAUUACCCAAUCCCGACUCGGGGAGGUAGUGACAAUAAAUACUGAUACAGGGCUCUUUCGGGUCUUGUAAUUGGAAUGAGUACAAUUUAAAUCCCUUAACGAGGAACAAUUGGAGGGCAAGUCUGGUGCCAGCAGCCGCGGUAAUUCCAGCUCCAAUAGCGUAUAUUAAAGUUGUUGUGGUUAAAAAGCUCGUAGUUGAACCUUGGGCCUGGCUGGCCGGUCCGCCUCACCGCGUGUACUGGUCCGGCUGGGCCUUUCCCUCUGUAGAACCCCAUGCCCUUCACUGGGCGUGGCGGGGAAACAGGACUUUUACUUUGAAAAAAUUAGAGUGCUCCAGGCAGGCCUAUGCUCGAAUACAUUAGCAUGGAAUAAUAAAAUAGGACGUGUGGUUCUAUUUUGUUGGUUUCUAGGACCGCCGUAAUGAUUAAUAGGGACAGUCGGGGGCAUCAGUAUUCAAUUGUCAGAGGUGAAAUUCUUGGAUUUAUUGAAGACUAACUACUGCGAAAGCAUUUGCCAAGGAUGUUUUCAUUAAUCAGGAACGAAAGUUAGGGGAUCGAAGACGAUCAGAUACCGUCGUAGUCUUAACCAUAAACUAUGCCGACUAGGGAUCGGACGAUGUUAUUUUUUGACUCGUUCGGCACCUUACGAGAAAUCAAAGUGC
rnacentral:rRNA from 1 species